ACCCAAAAUUAUUCUACUCCUAUCUAGGAGAGAAUAUCCAAAAAUAUUAUCCUAUCCUAUUAUUCCUCGUGAAAUAAAUGCUCGAGAUAUUUUGGUUACUACCAGUUGCUACAUUAUUUCAGGAGGGUGAGUGCUCUGGAAAAAAAAAGAAGUGAUUAUGAGGAAAUAAAAAGCGGCAAGUGCUCGAAACCUCGAUAGAAAAGAGAAAAAGUGAGACGAGAGGUAAAAAUGGACAAGUGUCCGACAGUAGAAUUAGGGGUACAAGAUACCCACCUAAGAGAAAAGAAAAAUAAAAUAUAGUGCGUCUCAUUCCCCUCAAAAGCCUCAAGUGCAAGAAAGGUAUGUACCCCAUCAAAAGAGCAAAAGUAGAAUUAGACUUAUUGACUUAUUGACUUAUUGAAGAAAAAUAAAAUAUAGUGCGUCACCAUUAUUUUCACCAUUCAUUCGCCACACAUAUCUUGAUUUGACUUAUUGACUUGUUCUUCUGGAUCCAUGGUUUGACUAUGCAAUAAGUGUCUUGUAAGUAUGUAUUAGCUGUCUCCCACCUAUGAGCUCCAGAUAUCAAAACCUUAUUAGAGUAGGGUGAGAAAGAAGGCAAUACCACUAUGCCUCA
rnacentral:lncRNA from 1 species